UACGGAGGGUGCAAGCGUUAUCCGGAAUCACUGGGUUUAAAGGGUUCGUAGGCGGUUAAGUAAGUCAGAGGUUAAAGCUAGCAGCUUAACUGUUAAAAUGCAUUUGAUACAGUUUGACUUGAAUUAGGUUGAGGUAGGCGAAAUUUGUAUUGUAGCGGUGAAAUGCAUAGAAAUGACAUAGAACACCAAAUGCGUAGGGAGCUUGCUGAGCUUGAAUUGACGCUGAGGCACGAAAGCGUAGGUAUCAAACAGG
rnacentral:rRNA from 1 species